UUGGAUAAUUGGAUUCCCAAAUCUUUCAAAAGAUAGUGGUAUUAUUUUCCAUUAUCUGUUUUCAGCGAUCAAUGGAUUGCAGGGGUUCUUAAUUUUUAUCAUUUGUUUCGUGAUAGACAAAAAGGUGCAUGAAGCUCUAAGAAUGAGGUUUCCAUUUGACCAGAAUCCUUAUGUUUCAAAGCUGUCGCAAAGCACGUCUG